GGGCCCAUAGUAAAACGGUAUUAUGCCUCCAUGGCAUGGAGGAGGUCGGGGUUCGAUUCCCCGUGGGUCCA
rnacentral:tRNA from 1 species